AUUGAACGCUGGCGGCAGGCCUAACACAUGCAAGUCGAACGGUAACAGGAAGAAGCUUGCUUCUUUGCUGACGAGUGGCGGACGGGUGAGUAAUGUCUGGGAAACUGCCUGAUGGAGGGGGAUAACUACUGGAAACGGUAGCUAAUACCGCAUAACGUCGCAAGACCAAAAAGGGGGACCUUCGGGCCUCUUGCCAUCGGAUGUGCCCAGAUGGGAUUAGCUAGUAGGUGGGGUAACGGCUCACCUAGGCGACGAGCCCUAGCUGGUCUGAGAGGAUGACCAGCCACACUGGAACUGAGACACGGUCCAGACUCCUACGGGAGGCAGCAGUGGGGAAUAUUGCACAAUGGGCGCAAGCCUGAUGCAGCCAUGCCGCGUGUAUGAAGAAGGCCUUCGGGUUGUAAAGUACUUUCAGCGGGGAGGAAGGGAGUAAAGUUAAUACCUUUGCUCAUUGACGUUACCCGCAGAAGAAGCACCGGCUAACUCCGUG
rnacentral:rRNA from 1 species